rnacentral:rRNA from 1 species
AGUGAACGCUGGCGGUAGGCCUAACACAUGCAAGUCGAACGGCAGCACAGUAAGAGCUUGCUCUUACGGGUGGCGAGUGGCGGACGGGUGAGGAAUACAUCGGAAUCUACUUUUUCGUGGGGGAUAACGUAGGGAAACUUACGCUAAUACCGCAUACGACCUACGUGUUAAAGCAGGGGAUCUUCUGACCUUUCGCGAUUGAAUGAGCCGAUUUCGGAUUAGCUAGUUGGCGUGGUAAAGUCCCACCAAGGCUACGAUCCGUAGCUGGUCUGAGAGGAUGAUCAGCCACAAUGGAACUGAGACACGGUCCAGACUUCUAAGGGAGGCAGCAGUGGGGAAUAUUGGACAAUGGGCGCAAGACUGGUCCAGGCAAACCGGGUGGGUGAAGAAGGGCUUUGGGUUGUAAAGGCCUUUUGUUGGGAAAGAAAAGAAGGAGGUUAAUACCCCGCUGUUCUGAAGGUAACCAAAGAAUAAGCACCGGCUAAAUUCGUGC